rnacentral:rRNA from 1 species
GAUGAACGCUGGCGGCGUGCCUAAUACAUGCAAGUCGAGCGAACAGACGAGGAGCUUGCUCCUCUGACGUUAGCGGCGGACGGGUGAGUAACACGUGGAUAACCUACCUAUAAGACUGGGAUAACUUCGGGAAACCGGAGCUAAUACCGGAUAAUAUAUUGAACCGCAUGGUUCAAUAGUGAAAGACGGUUUUGCUGUCACUUAUAGAUGGAUCCGCGCCGCAUUAGCUAGUUGGUAAGGUAACGGCUUACCAAGGCAACGAUGCGUAGCCGACCUGAGAGGGUGAUCGGCCACACUGGAACUGAGACACGGUCCAGACUCCUACGGGAGGCAGCAGUAGGGAAUCUUCCGCAAUGGGCGGAAGCCUGACGGAGCAACGCCGCGUGAGUGAUGAAGGUCUUCGGAUCGUAAAACUCUGUUAUUAGGGAAGAACAAAUGUGUAAGUAACUAUGCACGUCUUGACGGUACCUAAUCAGAAAGCCACGGCUAACUACGU